rnacentral:lncRNA from 1 species
AACAAAGGCAGCUCUUACCCCCGUAUUCAUAAAUGCAUCUUACCUUGGAGCCCAUGCUUGGCUUGAUCUAA